rnacentral:tRNA from 1 species
GGAAGAUUCGCAUAAUGGUAUUGCAGCAGAUUGCUAAUCUGUAGUCCGAAAGGUCUUAGGUGUUCGACCCACCUAUCUUCCGCCA